AGCAAUGCCGCGUGAAUGAUGAAAUUCUUCGGAAUGUAAAAUUCUGUUGUGAGGGAAGAAAGGUAGUAUCAGGAAAUGGGUAUUACUUGACGGUACCUUACUAGAAAGCCCCGGCUAACUAUGUGCCAGCAGCCGCGGUAAUACAUAGGGGGCGAGCGUUAUCCGGAAUUAUUGGGCGUAAAGCGUGCGUAGGCGGCCGUUUAAGUCUGUCGUGAAAGCCCACAGCUUAACUGUGGAGGGUCGAUGGAAACUGGAUGGCUUGAAUCUAGAAGAGGUAAGUGGAAUUCCAUGUGUAGCGGUAAAAUGCUUAGAUAUAUGGAGGAACACCAGUGGCGAAGGCGGCUUACUGGUCUAGCAUUGACGCUGAGGCACGAAAGCGUAGGUAGCAAACAGGAUUAGAUACCCUGGUAGUCUACGCUGUAAACGAUGAGUACUAAGUGUCGGACGUAAGUUCGGUGCUGUAGUUAACGCAUUAAGUGCUCCGCCUGGGGAGUACGGUCGCAAGACUGAAACUCAAAGGAAUUGACGGGGACUCGCACAAGCGGUGGAGCAUGUGGUUUAAUUCGACGCAACGCGAAAAACCUUACCAGGCCUUGACAUCCCUAUGACCGCUCUAGAGAUAGAGUUUCCUCUUCGGAGGUAUAGGUGACAGGUGGUGCAUGGUUGUCGUCAGCUCGUGUCGUGAGAUGUUGGGUUAAGUCCCGCAACGAGCGCAACCCUUAUCAUUAGUUGCUAACAUUAAGUUGAGCACUCUAAUGAGACUGCCAGCGACAAGUUGGAGGAAGGUGGGGAUGACGUCAAAUCAUCAUGCCCCUUAUGGCCUGGGCUACACACGUGCUACAAUGGCCGGUACAAAGAGCAGCGAAAUUGUGAAAUGGAGCAAAUCUCAAAAAGCCGGUCUCAGUUCGGAUUGUAGUCUGCAACUCGACUACAUGAAGUUGGAAUCGCUAGUAAUCGUGGAUCAGCAUGCCACGGUGAAUACGUUCUCGAGUCUUGUACACACCGCCCGUCACACCAUGAGAGUUUGUAAUACCCGAAGCCGGUGGCUUAACCGCAAGGAGAGAGCCGUCUAAGGUAGGACAGAUGAUUGGGGUGAAGUCGUAACAAGGUAUCCCUACGAGAACGUGGGGAUG
rnacentral:rRNA from 1 species